rnacentral:rRNA from 1 species
UACGUAGGGAGCAAGCGUUGUUCGGAUUUACUGGGCGUAAAGGGCGCGUAGGCGGCAACUCAAGCCAGCUGUGAAAUCUCCGAGCUUAACUCGGAACGGUCAGCUGAUACUGUUUUGCUAGAGUGCAGAAGGGGCAAUCGGAAUUCUUGGUGUAGCGGUGAAAUGCGUAGAUAUCAAGAGGAACACCUGAGGUGAAGACGGGUUGCUAGGCUGACACUGACGCUGAGGCGCGAAAGCCAGGGGAGCAAACGGG